UACGUAGGGACCAAGCGUUGUUCGGAUUUACUGGGCAUAAAGGGCGCGUAGGCGGCAAAUUAAGUCAGCUGUGAAAUCUCCGAGCUUAACUCGGAACUGUCAGCUGAUACUGAUGUGCUAGAGUGCGGAAGGGGCAAUCGGAAUUCUUGGUGUAGCGGUGAAAUGCGUAGAUAUCAAGAGGAACCCCUGAGGUGAAGACGGGUUGCUGGGCCGACACUGACGCUGAGUGCGCGAAAGCCAGGGGAGCAAACGGG
rnacentral:rRNA from 1 species